ensembl:snoRNA SNORD33 Small nucleolar RNA Z195/SNORD33/SNORD32 family
CUAGUCAGUGAUGUUCACAAUUGUAACGCAUUCGAGUUUAACGACCAUGAUAAUAUCUUACAUGCACUACCAUCUGAGACAUG